UACUAGAGUAGCACUCGCAUAUCAAUAAGCGGAGGAAAAGAAACUAACAAGGGAUUCCCCUAGUAACGGCGAGUGAAGCGGGAAGAGCUCAAAUUUGAAAUCUUAAAGGGUUUCCCUUUACGAAUUGUAGUUUAAAGAAGUGUUUUCUGUUGAGGUUUUGGUAAAAGUUCUUUGGAAUAGGACAUCAUAGAGGGUGAGAAUCCCGUAUUUGACCUUUACUUUCAACUUUGUGAUACACUUUCAAAGAGUCGGAUUGUUUGGGAAUGCAGUCCAAAAUGGGUGGUAAAUUUCAUCUAAAGCUAAAUAUUGGCGAGAGGACCGAUAGCGAACAAGUACCGUGAGGGAAAGAUGAAAAGAACUUUGAAAAGAGAGUUAAACAGUACGUGAAAUUGUCAAAAGGGAAGCGUUUGACACCAGUGUUGUUUUUCUGAAAAUCAAUUAAAGAACUGUUUAUGCUAAGCUGUUUAGACUUUAUCAGCUAAUCUGUUUAGUUUUGAGCUUUUCUUUAAUGCACUUUUCAGUUAACAAGUCAACAUCAAUUUCUUUUGCUGUAAAAAAGCUUGAGGAAGGUGGCUUGAGAUUCGUCUUAAGUGUUUAUAGCCUCUUGCCUAUGCAGUCGGAGAGAUUGAGGUCUGCAGCGUAGAUCCUUCGGGGCUAAAUGCAUUUGUGCUAAGUUAUAGCAUUUUAUAGACAACUUGUUGACUAUGAUUUGUCUUGUAGCUUACUCGCUUAUGUUAUUUUACCUACGCUUAGGAUGUUGAUCUACAGAGCGAGAGU
rnacentral:rRNA from 1 species